rnacentral:RNase_P_RNA from 1 species
UGAGACGGCCAGGCAGCCGCUGUGGCGACACAGAGGAAAGUCCGGGCUCCGAAGGGCGGGAUGCGGGGUAACACCCCGGCGCGUAUAGAUGAAGGCGACGAACAGGGCCACAGAGACGAGUCCUCGGGGUCAGAGCCGAGGGGUGAAACGGGCAACCUCCAUCCGGAGCAACACCAAAUAGGCAAGCGUUCGAGGCCGGCCCGGCCGAGCUUGCGGGUAGGUGGCUAGAGCUCCAGGGCGACCUGGGGCCCAGAGGAAUGGCUGCCGUGGCGGGAUCUCCCGCCGCACAGAACCCGGCUUAUCGGCCGUCUCAGUUU